CUGACACAAAUACAACACUGGUGCUGCAUAUCACAAUAUUAUAACACGCAGAUAAAUUUUGACAACAAUUCGAAUUCCACCACCGGAAACGGUCCACUGCUGUGUACAUUUGUUAUACGGAUUUCCGGUAUAUUGAAAGAGGAGAGCCAUCGUCGUGAAUACACUGUACGGGAGCGACGCACAAAUUAUUGCACCCACAAUGAUACUCCGAGUUGGACAUCGGCCAAUCGCUGCGAAACGAAUACGUAAUAUCGUAGCCGUUAUCAUAAUAUGAUUUUAAUACCGCGACACCACAUAUUAUUAUCACUGUAUAUUAUAUUCGUACCGGCGGUGCAGGCGCGAAUAUUGUGAAUAUUCAAAAUUCUCGUCGUGGGCGGGGGACUUGUGGGAGAAAGUCGAAAGAAAAAUAUAAUAAAUAUAAUAAAAAAAAUCAUUGACAAAAAAAGCCACACAAAAGAGUCACGUAUAUAAUAAAGCCACCAAUAAAAAAGACAUGGGAUAAAAAAUUCACAGGACAAAAAAGCCAUGAAUAAAAAAAGACACCAAUUUGUUUUUUUUGCUAAAACAAUUCUAUACGAUGUAUUAUUAUUUAUUUAUUUUAAAAUGUUUUAAAAUUAUUU